GGGGACGAAGGGCUUCGACGGGAAUAUCCUCUUAUACACUGCAAGCCGAGUGGGCGACCUCGUAAAACACGCCAAACCUAUAACUGCAAACCAAAGAGUUGCGGCACCAGCAUUCGCUUACGCGUAACUGGUGAACUCUCUUCCUUAACGAAGAGGGCAUCGGUCCCGACGCUUCAUAGGGAUACGCCGGUGUAAUACCUGAAGCUCGCCGCGGCAAGCCGACUCCGUACCUGCGGCUAAAAAAGGAGUCAGCACCGUUUCUUCUAAAGAACUAAGCUUGUAGAAAGUGUAUGGGAAGCUUCUCGGAUGCGAGUUCAACUCUCGCCGUCUCCACAC
rnacentral:tmRNA from 1 species